rnacentral:lncRNA from 1 species
UAAAUUAUGGUCUCAUUGAUUGAACUGUAGAACACAAAUUUUCAAAAUAUGCAUAAUUAUUACUUUUCGCUUUCUUUAAUAUGAAUAACAAGAACUAAAGGACAUAUUCAUGUCAUGAAAAGUGAGGAAAGAAUACUCAGAACCCUUUUCACCUUUCUUUUUCACAAUCCUUCUCAUGCACUCAUCUUGACAUGACCAAUUAUCAUCCUUUGGAUAUAUUUAAAUAGAAAAAUGUUCUGAUUUCAUUCCUUGAUCCUCCACUCUAUCUUGUCAAGCCACAGGAAUUAUUCAGAACACAAGAUUGUAAAUAUGUAAAAAAAAAUAAGAGCACGGAAUUAUGAUAUAGAAAUAGCGCGACUCUGAUUUCCUUCGUUCGCCGCCCCUCUGCUUCGCUUCAGGUCUCCACCCCCGUGUUGUGAUGCUACUCUUGAAUUCCAAUCUAACAUUCAGGAUUCAGCUAAUAUAAACUCAUUGCUCUUUGUACAAUAGAGAAGUAACAGGGGAAAGAAGAAGCAGACUAAGGCAUAGCCUAGUGGUGGGAAGGGGCUGAUGCCUUCCCACCCACCCAGGUUCAAGGCAUGGUGCUUGCAAGUUGGGUUUGUUGCACCAAUUAUACUAUAGGGGGUUCCCCUAUAGUCUUUCUAUCAAAAACAGGGGAAAGAAGAAAAACUGGGAAUUCACUUGCCCACUGAAGUGUGUAAAGCCCAACUCUGAAUUUUCGGUUGUACCGCGCAUCAUCAUCCAUCUCAGAUAGUAAGAGCAUGUCCUUUAGCAAUAAAACAUCUGCUUAAUUUUGACCUUGAGGUAAAAAGAUGGAUAAGGCACCUCCAAAUCAUCUAAAUCGAAACCUUUCGGUCUUUGCUUUCACUAUGUCUGAGUACCUGCAUGGUGUGAGCAGAUCAUUCAAUCAGUACAAAAAAAGGAAUAAUGUUCUAAAAAAAAGUACACAACAAGGAAUAAAGCAGUUCCAUUAGUUAUCUUGAAACUAAACAUAUCAUGCGUAUAAAUCCACUGGAUGGUCAAUUUUCUCACACCCAUUCUCAACAAAUCCUGUACAUACCAAAAAAAGUGUCCAAUAGGGAGCAUAUUCAAAAAACCUACAGCUCCUUGAAAGAAUGCCCUUCUCCACAGUAACCAAGCAAGCUCAUGAAUUUCUAUGAUUUAAUAUAAACAAACCUGUGAUGUGGAAGUAAAACCAUUGGAAUAUGAAGUGAAUAAUGUGCAUCUACUCAAGUUGUAGUUAAUUCUGCAUGCGGUUACUACGUCAUCCUUGGUGGGGAGGGGAAGUUGGAGGAGGCUCUCAGAUUUCGAGAGGCUUGACAUCAGCGGCAAUCAUCUGCACAACACGAAAAUAAAGAUCAAACCUUGGUAACAGAAACAAUAGGAGACCUGAAAUUAUGGACUGAACAAAAAGAGAUAAGUUGGGGAGAAAUUUAGGUCCCCAGACUGACUAGCUCUUGCAUAUGCAUGAUAUUACAAAUGUGAUACCUUUGUGCUGCCUUUAGUUUUGAACCACUCGGAGACCAUUCUGAUCCCUCUAGCAAACAUGUCAACAUAACUAUAUGGGCAAUGCAUUUCGAACCAUUGACCAAAGCAUCCAUGCACUCGAAACUAAAAGCAUCUAAUUGUUCUGUUCUAAACUAUUUUAAAGUCUGCACUUUGUACAGCUGCAACUUGGUGUCAUGAACUGAAUUAGUGCAUUACUUACACAACAAAUAUCAGAUUAUGUAGAAGUUGAUAGAAAUUAGCAGAAGUGGGCAACAAAAAUCAGCAGCCCAUCACCUUGCAAUAUAGAACAUACUUUCGCCGACCAUCAUAGAUCAUACCGCUAAACAACAAGGCGCAUCGGCCGUCCACUUGAAUUAUUAUU